rnacentral:rRNA from 1 species
UAGGGAAUCUUCCACAAUGGGCGCAAGCCUGAUGGAGCAACACCGCGUGAGUGAAGAAGGGUUUCGGCUCGUAAAGCUCUGUUGUUAAAGAAGAACACGUAUGAGAGUAACUGUUCAUACGUUGACGGUAUUUAACCAGAAAGUCACGGCUAACUACGUGCCAGCAGCCGUGGUAAUACGUAGGUGGCAAGCGUUAUCCGGAUUUAUUGGGCGUAAAGAGAGUGCAGGCGGUUUUCUAAGUCUGAUGUGAAAGCCUUCGGCUUAACCGGAGAAGUGCAUCGGAAACUGGAUAACUUGAGUGCAGAAGAGGGUAGUGGAACUCCAUGUGUAGCGGUGGAAUGCGUAGAUAUAUGGAAGAACACCAGUGGCGAAGGCGGCUACCUGGUCUGCAGCUGACGCUGAGACUCGAAAGCAUGGGUAGCGAACAGGAUUAGAUACCCUGGUAGUCCAUGCCGUAACGAUGAGUGCUAGGUGUUGGAGGGUUUCCGCCCUUCAGUGCCGGAGCUAACGCAUUAAGCACUCCGCCUGGGGAGUACGACCGCAAGGUU